rnacentral:rRNA from 1 species
CCUACGGGUGGCAGCAGUGAGGAAUAUUGGUCAAUGGGCGGAAUCCUGAACCAGCCAAGUAGCGUGCAGGAUGACGGCCCUACGGGUUGUAAACUGCUUUUAUACGGGAAUAACGCGCCUUACGUGUAGGGCUUUGCAUGUACCGUAUGAAUAAGGACCGGCUAAUUCCGUGCCAGCAGCCGCGGUAAUACGGAGGGUCCGGGCGUUAUCCGGAUUUAUUGGGUUUAAAGGGAGCGUAGGCCGGAUGUCAAGCGUGCUGUGAAAUGUCCGGGCUCAACCCGGGCCUUGCAGCGCGAACUGGAGGGCUAGAGUCCGCGUAAAGCAGGCGGAAUGCGUGGUGUAGCGGUGAAAUGCUUAGAUAUGACGAAGAACACCGAUUGCGAAGGCAGCUUGCUGGAGCGGAACUGACGCUGAUGCUCGAAAGCGAGGGUAUCGAACAGGAUUAGAUACCCGUGUAGUC